rnacentral:rRNA from 1 species
UAAGGAAUAUUGGUCAAUGGACGCAAGUCUGAACCAGCCAUGCCGCGUGGAGGAUUAAGGCCCUCUGGGUUGUAAACUCCUUUUAUCUGGGAAGAAAUGUACUUUUUCUUGAGUACUUGACGGUACCAGAGGAAUAAGCACCGGCUAACUCCGUGCCAGCAGCCGCGGUAAUACGGAGGGUGCAAGCGUUAUCCGGAUUCACUGGGUUUAAAGGGUGCGUAGGUGGGCAGGUAAGUCAGUGGUGAAAUCUCCGGGCUUAACCCGGAAACUGCCGUUGAUACUAUUUGUCUUGAAUAUUGUGGAGGUAAGCGGAAUAUGUCAUGUAGCGGUGAAAUGCUUAGAUAUGACAUAGAACACCAAUUGCGAAGGCAGCUUACUACACAAUCAUUGACGCUGAGGCACGAAAGCGUGGGAUCAAACA